rnacentral:precursor_RNA from 10 species
AUAAAAUAUUAAACGAGGCGUCCCAAUAUGCACUGUGGAUCUUGUCCUAUACUUGUCGGGCGCAGCUACAAUUAAUCAGUAUCGACAAGAUCUCUCAGUGGGUAUGGACUGCUUACACUCAGCAGUAUCAGC